UGGGGUGUGGUUCAAUGAUUGAGCACUUAUCUUGCAUGUAUGAGAUACUGGGUUCAAUCCUCAGCACCACAU
rnacentral:tRNA from 1 species